AUUGAACGCUGGCGGCAGGCUUAACACAUGCAAGUCGAGCGGAGAUGAGGUGCUUGCACCUUAUCUUAGCGGCGGACGGGUGAGUAAUGCUUAGGAAUCUGCCUAUUAGUGGGGGACAACAUUCCGAAAGGGAUGCUAAUACCGCAUACGUCCUACGGGAGAAAGCAGGGGAUCUUCGGACCUUGCGCUAAUAGAUGAGCCUAAGUCGGAUUAGCUAGUUGGUGGGGUAAAGGCCUACCAAGGCGACGAUCUGUAGCGGGUCUGAGAGGAUGAUCCGCCACCCUGGGACUGAGACACGGCCCAGACUCCUACGGGAGGCAGCAGUGGGGAAUAUUGGACAAUGGGGGGAACCCUGAUCCAGCCAUGCCGCGUGUGUGAAGAAGGCCUUUUGGUUGUAAAGCACUUUAAGCGAGGAGGAGGCUACUGAGACUAAUACUCUUGGAUAGUGGACGUUACUCGCAGAAUAAGCACCGGCUAACUCUGUGCCAGCCGCCGCGGUAA
rnacentral:rRNA from 1 species